GGCUCGGUGGUGUAGUUGGUUAUCACGUCAGUCUAACAAAUCACUGUUAGAGUGCACUGAAGGUCCCGAGUUCAAACCUCGGCUGAGUCA